rnacentral:rRNA from 1 species
CGGCGGCAUGCCUACACUGCAAGUCGAACGGCAGCGCGGACUUCGGUCUGGCGGCGAGUGGCGAACGGGUGAGUAAUACAUCGGAACGUGCCCUGUUGUGGGGGAUAACUAGUCGAAAGAUUAGCUAAUACCGCAUACGACCUGAGGGUGAAAGCGGGGGACCGUAAGGCCUCGCGCAUAGGAGCGGCCGAUGUCUGAUUAGCUAGUUGGUGAGGUAAAGGCUCACCAAGGCGACGAUCAGUAGCUGGUCUGAGAGGACGAUCAGCCACACUGGGACUGAGACACGGCCCAGACUCCUACGGGAGGCAGCAGUGGGGAAUUUUGGACAAUGGGGGCAACCCUGAUCCAGCAAUGCCGCGUGUGUGAAGAAGGCCUUCGGGUUGUAAAGCACUUUUGUCCGGAAAGAAAUCCUUUGGGCUAAUACCCCGGAGGGAUGACGGUACCGGAAGAAUAAGCACCGGCUAACUACGUGCCAGCAGCCGCGGUAAUACGUAGGGUGCGAGCGUUAAUCGGAAUUACUGGGCGUAAAGCGUGCGCAGGCGGUUUUGUAAGACAGGCGUGAAAUCCCCGGGCUCAACCUGGGAAUGGCGCUUGUGACUGCAAGGCUAGAGUGCGUCAGAGGGGGGUAGAAUUCCACGUGUAGCAGUGAAAUGCGUAGAGAUGUGGAGGAAUACCGAUGGCGAAGGCAGCCCCCUGGGACGUGACUGACGCUCAUGCACGAAAGCGUGGGGAGCAAACAGGAUUAGAUACCCUGGUAGUCCACGCCCUAAACGAUGUCAACUAGUUGUUGGGGAUUCAUUUCUUCAGUAACGAAGCUAACGCGUGAAGUUGACCGCCUGGGGAGUACGGUCGCAAGAUUAAAACUCAAAGGAAUUGACGGGGACCCGCACAAGCGGUGGAUGAUGUGGAUUAAUUCGAUGCAACGCGAAAAACCUUACCUACCCUUGACAUGCCACUAACGAAGCAGAGAUGCAUCAGGUGCCCGAAAGGGAAAGUGGAC